UUGAUCCUGGCUCAGAAUGAACGCUGGCGGCAUGGCUAAGACAUGCAAGUCGAACGGACUUUAUGAUUGGGUAAUCUUGAAUAAAGUUAGUGGCGAAAGGGUGAGGAAUAGAUAUGAACGUGCCUUUGGCUUCGGAAUAGCGUCCCGAAAGGGGCGGUAAUACCGGAUAACGUCUACGGACCAAGGAUUUAUCGGCCUUAGAGCGGCCUAUCUCCUAUCAGCUUGUUGGUGGGGUAAUGGCCUACCAAUGCAACGACGGGUAGCGGGACUGAGAGGUUGGCCCGCCACAUCGGGACUGAGACACUGCCCGGACCUCCACGGAAGGCUGCACUAACGAAUAUUGGGCAAUGGGCUAAAGCCUGACCCAGCAAUGCCGCGUGUAUGAUGAAGCCCCUCGGGGUGUAAACUACUGUCAGGGGUUAGAAAGCUACGGGUUGAUCAACCCCAGAGGAAGUCACGGCUAACUUCGUGCCAGCAGCCGCGGUACUACGAAGGUGGCGAGCGUUAUUCGGAAUUACUGGGCUUAAAGCGCACGCAGGCGGACUAUCUAGCGUCUUGUGAAAUCCCCCGUGCUUAGCCGGGGAAUUGCAGGGCGAACUGGUAUUCUUGAGGCAAGUAGGGGUGCAUGGAACUCUUGGUGGAGCGGUGGAAUGCGUAGAUAUCAGGAGGAACGCCGAUGGUGAAGACAGUGCACUGGGCUUGUCCUGACGCUGAGGUGCGAAAGCGUGGGGAGCGAACGGGAUCAGAUACCCCGGUAGUCCACGCCGUAAACGAUGCCUACUAGGUCGUGGAUGUCCUGACACACUCAGGGCCGAAGCAAAAGUGCUUAGUAUGCCGACUGGGGAGUACGGUCGCGAGGCUAAUACUC
rnacentral:rRNA from 1 species